rnacentral:rRNA from 1 species
UACAGAGGGGGCAAGCGUUAUUCGGAAUUAUUGGGCGUAAAGGGCGCGUAGGCGGCUUGGCAAGUGGAAGGUGAAAUCCCUCGGCUUAACCGAGGAACUGCCCUCCAAACUGCUUUGCUUGAGGCCGGGAGAGGUGAGUGGAAUUCCCAGUGUAGCGGUGAAAUGCGUAGAUAUUGGGAGGAACACCAGUGGCGAAGGCGGGACUCUGGGCCGAUACUGACGCUGAGGAGCGAAAGCGUGGGGAGCGAACAGG